CAAUAGCGUAUAUUUAAGUUGUUGCAGUUAAAAGCUCGUAGUUGGAUUUCGGAUGUGAACGACCGGUCCGCCGUUGCGGUGUGCACUGGACGUUUGUAUCUUGUUGUCGGGGACGCGCUCCUGACCUUAACUGGGAGGGACGCGGAGUCGGCGCUGUUACUUUGAAAAAUUAGAGUGUUCAAAGCAGGCAACCGCUCUGAAUACAUUAGCAUGGAAUAACGCUAUAGGACUCUGGUCCUAUUGUGUUGGUCUUCGGGACCGGAGUAAUGAUUAAGAGGGACAGUUGGGGCAGUUCGUAUUCAUUUGUCAGAGGUGAAAUUCUUGGAUUUAUGAAAGAUCGAAACUUCUGCUGAAAGCAUUUGCCAAUGGAUGUUUUCUAUUAAUCAAGAACGAAAGUUAGGGGAUCGAAGAUGAUUAGAUACCG
rnacentral:rRNA from 1 species